GAUGAACGCUGGCGGCGUGCCUAACACAUGCAAGUCGAACGGACUUAUUUUGGAAACUCUUUCGGGAGCGGAAUUCAUAAGUUAGUGGCGGACGGGUGAGUAACGCGUGAGCAAUCUGCCCUUAGGUGGGGGAUAACAGCCGGAAACGGCUGCUAAUACCGCAUAAUGCAGCGGGAUCGCAUGGUUCUGCUGCCAAAGAUUUAUUGCCUUUGGAUGAGCUCGCGUCUGAUUAGCUAGUUGGCGGGGCAACGGCCCACCAAGGCGACGAUCAGUAGCCGGACUGAGAGGUUGAACGGCCACAUUGGGACUGAGACACGGCCCAG
rnacentral:rRNA from 1 species